CACGUAGGGCGCAAGCGUUGUCCGGAAUUAUUGGGCGUAAAGAGCUCGUAGGCGGUCUGUUGCGUCCGCUGUGAAAACCCGGGGCUUAACCCCUGGCUUGCAGUGGAUACGGACAGACUAGAGGUAGGUAGGGGAGAAUGGAAUUCCCGGUGUAGCGGUGAAAUGCGCAGAUAUCGGGAGGAACCCCGGUGGCGAAGGCGGUUCUCUGGGCCGAUACUGACGCUGAGGAGCGAAAGCGUGGGGAGCGAACAGG
rnacentral:rRNA from 1 species